CGCAGGUCCUAUCGCGAUAACCUGGUUGUUUAUUGGUAAAGUCCAUACUGUUCUAUCACAGAUAUUAUAGUUGACCGUACCUUGAGGUAAAAAGACGACCAGCUACCAUGCCAACAACGAAGAUCGACCAGCCGAUGCAGACGGCCUUUCAAAGCCCACUUCAGGGCGGGAUGCCUUUGAAAGAUUCUGGGGUGGGGGCGGGGGUGGUGGAGCUCCAAAGACUGGCGGUGGGGGGACGGGCGGGGCUGGUGUUGGACUGAAAACCACGAGAGGUUCUGGAACAUCAACUGAACUUUUCUUUGAUUUUGACCUGAUAAAAACAACGAGAAUUUCUAUGMUUGAAUGGUUGCWAUGGAUUCCCUAAAAAAUAGUUGCUUUCAAAUGGUUGCCAAUAAAAUAGAUGUAC